rnacentral:lncRNA from 1 species
AUGGUAUUAAAGUGCUGAUAUUUACAUUUUCUUCAUGGCGCAGGAGUGCUUGAUGGGCGUUCUCAAGGACAAGACAAUACUUUAUAUUACACACCAAGUUGAGUUUCUUCCUGUAGCAGAUCUCAUUCUGGUAUGCAGGAAAACAGCAUAAGUUUCAAUUUGUUCCAUUGUUGCACCCAAUUAAUGUUAUUUAACUGAUAGAUCAUCUGCAUAAUUUAUGAAUUCAGGCAUCACCCACACAAAACAAUGACCUGCCUGUACAGCGACUCUGAGAAUGAAUCAGAUAAAAGAAUUUCGCACGCUUUAGUUGUAUAUACUUGUCUAUAUGAACACAUCAAAGUCCUUUUAAGAAGGGAUUUCAUAUUCGAAUACACCUUAUAAUCCUAAGAACGCAGGCCUUUUAGUUACGGGCUGAGCAAAAGAAAAAUUAGGACAGUCACUUUUAAACUCCAGAAAAUCCCCCCCCCCCCCCCCCCCCCCCCAAAAAAAAAAAGGAUCUACUCCUUGAUCAAUUGUAUACACGUUGAACUGUGCAAACAAGCUUGAAUUUGUUAGACCUUUCCAAGUAUUUGGAGGUUGCUUAUUUAGGAUGCCAAUAUCAUUUUAAACAAUAAAAAAAAAUAAUAGGGAGACUCUUUUGAAUAAUAAUACCUAGACUCUUAUGGAAGAUACUUGAUGCAUCUUAAGAUUUCCAGAAUUGUGAACAUUCAAAACUAUGAUGUGAAAAAGUUAAUUCCAAAAUCUAACUCCUUAAUAUCGACAGGUGAUGCAAAACGGAAGAAUUGCACAAGCUGGUACUUUUGGAGAACUAUUGAAACAAAAUAUUGGGUUUGCAGUUCUAGUUGGAGCACAUAACCAGGCUUUAGAUUCAAUUUUAACAGUUGAAAGCUCAAGUAGAGUAUCUGAACAUGCAAUUACUGAUGGUGAGCUUGAUACAGAAAGUAACACAAAUGCAGAAUUUCCAGUCACAAAGCAGGAUUCAGAAUACAAUCUCUGCGUAGAGAUAACAGAAAAGGAUGGUAGACUUGUGCAGGAUGAGGAGAGAGAACAAGGAAGCAUUGGAAAAGAAGUUUACUUUUCUUACUUGACCAUUGUGAAAGGGGGUGCCUUUAUUCCAAUAAUUCUUCUUGCACAAUCAUCAUUUCAAGUUCUUCAGAUAGCCAGCAACUACUGGAUGGCAUGG